AAAAUCUAUGUGAAAAAUAAUACAUAUAAUAAUAAAUGUUUAUAGUUUAAAAAGUUUAUUUAAUGAUUUAUUUUACAUAUAAAUUUUAGUAUUUAAAUUAUUUAAAUAAUAAGUUAAAUUUUAUGUAGUAAUUAAUAUUAAAUAUUUAAGAAAUUAAGAAUUAGUAAUAUAAAAAUUAAUAACAAAUUUUGUGCCAGCAGUUGCGGUUAUACAAAAGUUAAAUUAAAUUUUAUUAGUUAAUUAAUUAAUAAAUUAAUUUAAUUAAAAAUUUAAAUUAUUAGGUGAAAUUUUAAUUUAAUAAAAAAUUAAUAUUAAUUUAUGAUUUAAUAAAUUUUUUUUAAAAACUAGGAUUAGAUACCCUAUUAUUAAUUUUUAAAUUUUAAAAUACUAAAAUAGUAGGUAAUUAUUUAUUGAAACUUAAAUAAUUUGGCGGUAUUUUAGUUCAUUUAGAGGAAUCUGUUUAAUAAUUGAUAGUCCACGAAUAAAUUUACUUAAUUUAGAAUUUUGUAUAUCGUUGUUAAAAAAAUAUUUUUUAAUAAUAAUUAAUAUUUAAAAAUUAAUAAUAAAAUUAAAUCAGAUCAAGAUGCAGAUUAUAAUUAAGAAUAUAAUGGAUUACAAUAAUUUUAUUUAAAUGAAUAAUAAAUUUGUAAAAAUUUUUUGAAAGUGGAUUUAAAUGUAAUUUUAUUUAAUUUAAUAAAAUGAUUAAAAAUUGAAAUAUGUACAUAUUGCCCGUCGCUUUCAUAUAUUUUAAGUUGGAAUAAGUCGUAACAAAGUAGAGGUACUGGAAAGUGUUUCUAGAAAGAU
rnacentral:ncRNA from 1 species